rnacentral:rRNA from 1 species
UACGUAGGGUGCAAGCGUUGUUCGGAAUCAUUGGGCGUAAAGCGCGUGUAGGCGGCUCGGUAAGUCUGCUGUGAAAGUCCAGGGCUCAACCCUGGGAUGCCGGUGGAUACUGUCGAGCUCGAGUCCGGAAGAGGCGAGUGGAAUUCCUGGUGUAGCGGUGAAAUGCGCAGAUAUCAGGAGGAACACCAAUGGCGAAGGCAGCUCGCUGGGACGUGACUGACGCUGAGACGCGAAAGCGUGGGGAGCAAACAGG